UACGUAGGUGGCAAGCGUUGUCCGGAAUUAUUGGGCGUAAAGCGCGCGCAGGCGGUCCUUUAAGUCUGAUGUGAAAGCCCACGGCUCAACCGUGGAGGGUCAUUGGAAACUGGAGGACUUGAGUGCAGGAGAGAAGAGUGGAAUUCCACGUGUAGCGGUGAAAUGCGUAGAGAUGUGGAGGAACACCAGUGGCGAAGGCGGCUUCCUGGACCAAUACUGACGCUGAGGUGCGAAAGCGUGGGGAGCAAACAGG
rnacentral:rRNA from 1 species